rnacentral:rRNA from 1 species
UACGGAGGGUGCAAGCGUUGCUCGGAAUUAUUGGGCGUAAAGGGUAGGUAGGUGGUCUCAUUUGUCUGGGGUGAAAGCCUUGAGCUUAACUCAAGAAGUGCCCCAGAAACGGUGAGACUAGAGUCUUGGAGAGGGUCGUGGAAUUCCCGGUGUAGCGGUGAAAUGCGCAGAUAUCAGGAGGAACACCUAUGGCGAAGGCGGCUCUCUGGAACGCAACUGACGCUGAGACGCGAAAGCGUGGGGAGCAAACAGG